GGGUCCCGGGCACGGGGAGGGUCCCGGGCGGAGCUGCCCUGAGGGACGCCGCGAGGUGCCUGAGGGACGGAGCCCCCGCGCCGCCCUGAGCCCUGACAGCCGGCGGGAACGGCGUGCUGGAAAACGCGUGUCUUAUGAUUGGCUUUUCGCAGAUAUUACAGUGGAUAUUAUGACUUCUGUGAGGCUUUGGUGAACUUCGUGGGGAGAUGCCUGAUGUGUCAUUCCUGUGGCUGUUUCCAGCUACUUCAGUGGGAAUUUCUGCAGCACAAUCUGCUGUGUACUGUGAACUGUUGCCAAUCACCAGAGUUAGGAAAAUAUGGGAAUGCAGAGCAGGUGCAAUAACUGUGGAAGAGCUGCUGUUCUGAAACCUGUGAAUGACCACAGAGAAACCAGAGGGAAAAACCAUUUCAAAAUUGAAAUGUGUAAUUGAAGACCUUCAGGAAGGGUCAGGAAAAGUGAACAGCCUUUAGAUGGGGAAGCAAAAAGAGAGAAAUCAUAGAAAUGCUGAAAAUAUUUAAGAAAGGAAUCUACAGGAAUACUGGCCAGCAAGCCGGGGCAGAGCAGCUGGAGCAAGGAGAAGGAGAUGCUGGCCUGGAAGGGAGAAUCAGUACCUUGCUAGUUGGCCAGCAUAAUCUUCACAAUCUUUUCAACAUCACUCUGUGCCUUCUGGGACUCCAAGAAACCUUUCUUGGCAGUGCCUCUCUUCUAGUACCCCUUGAGACAGACUUUCCUCCUCCUCCAAACAGUGUGCUGUGAAUAGUUCUCUAAAAUCCUACUCAUCCAGGGAGGAUGCCACAAAAAGGCAGUGCAUUUGUGUUGUCAGAGGCAGCUCUACCUUGCAGACAUGAGAAAGGCAUUUGGACUCAGAUCAAGUGCUGAGUGCGUUACAAGCACACCAACCCACCUCAGUUAAGAGGAACAAGUUCAAAGUGUGAAAUUUUGAGUAGGAAAGUAUAAACAUCUUUACCAGCAUGUUAAUGUUACGUGUCUAAUGGUGUCAGCAACUGCUCUUGCUCUCCCUCUAUCACAUGAAUCACAUAAAAGAAAGAAGAGGUAAAAGCAGAUGUGACAGCCCUUAUUCCAAGCUAAUUCUGAAGACCAGAGGAAUUCAAUCUGCAGCUGAGCUACCACUGCCCUUGCCUCCUUUUCUUCUUCUUCAACAUGUCAUUUAGAUCCAUUUCCCAAGCCACUUAAACAUGUUUAAUAACUAACUAAUAGUGCAGUGAUCUUGGAGCCUUUCACAGCUCCCUGAAAUCCAAACCACUUUUCAACCAGUAUGGGCAGAAACAAGGUCAGGUGCCAGCAGGCAGAGAAGGCUCUCAAGCCCCAGGAGUUCCUUCAUCUCUGGACUAUUUUCACGAUAGACCCAAGCUGCAAAACAGAAACAUUUCAUCUGCCAGCAGGGAGGCACAGGGCUAAUUAGCAGGUCUUGAACUGCAAGAUUCAAACUGAGAGCAUCCAGCACUCUCCCUGGUUUUUCACGGAUGCUAUUUCUCUGUAGCACCUGCCUCUGCUCCCUGAGCACCCACCUCUUCCCUGCUAUCCAGCCCUGCUGAGCAUGGAGCUGUAGUAGCUGUCAUGAGAACAUCAGCUCAAACUGCGUGGAAAUGGAAAUCAAUUUUCCUCACCCAUGAGAGAGGUUUGUUGUUGCCCUGAUUUUUAAAAGUGUUUUCUUUUAUAGUGCUUUUGAAAGUUUUAAAGUUCUCAUAAAACUUCUUUAGUCUUCUGAUAACGUUUACGCAUCUGAGAGUCAGAGUUCCCACACAAUUUCAUGUAUAAAUAGAAUAGUUUACAUAUUUCUCUGUGGGUAGAGAGAAAUUAAUUAUUGAUUUUUAGACCAGUGUGGUUGGAGAGGUGGUAAUUCCAUCCUCCAAUCCUGGUCACCUUUGGAAUUCUAUAAAUACCAGGUGUUUGAAUAGAACUGGAUCUUUUUCUCAUUUGAACUU
ensembl:lncRNA